rnacentral:lncRNA from 1 species
UAUGUCCCCUCCUUCUUGAACCUCCCUCCCACCUCCCACCCCAUUCCACCCUUCUAGAUUGUCAACAGAGCAUCAGAUUUGAGCUCCAUACAUUCAGGUGUGACUUUUUGGAAUUUUCACCUGAGCCCUAGGAAUUGGAUAAUGCUGUGGUUCCCAUUUCUCAGGGAUGCAGGCUCAGAGAUGUAUCAGCUUAAUCCACAUAACAAAGAGCUGAGGGUGUGUUGUGCCUCGUUUUCAUUGCAGGUUUACAUCACUUGUCUGGGUUUUUCCAUCAUUCUGGAUUACUGGCUGGGGGCCCUAAGGGGCUCCAUCGAUCGAUUGCUCUCUGGACUAUGAAAUUCUGCUUGGGGUGGUUUGGGGGUGUUUGAGGAAGUAUUGAAACCAGAGCUUCCUCCACCUGCAAGCUAGAAGAGGCUACAGGGAGGGGAUGUGAUGGGCUCCCUUCCCCUUGCCAGCUAAAUUUCCCCUUCCUCAUGACUUCUGAGCAGUGCAGUGCAGGGGAGGGAAUUGCAGGGAGAGGCCCCAGGGGUGGGGCUGAGAAUCUGGGUGCAGGAAGUCAGCUCGCCCCUGGGAACCCAGCGCAGCUUGAAGGAGCCAUCUCAGCUCCCCUGUUUGCCCAACUUGGCUACCCCUUUGUUGCCCCUCUGCUGUGAAUGUCCCCAAGUUGCCCUAGGGCGAUGCAGCUUGGUGUUGUCCUUGCCAGGGUCCUAAACAGUAAGGAGGGAGACCUAGACCUCUCAGCUUACAGCUCCCCUUUAGCUACGUAUCUUCUCACUUCUGAGACUUCACCUGGGAAACGGGACCUCAGGACCCCUCAAUCUUAGCACGUUUCCCCCUGUCCACUUCUCCAUCCUAUGAACUGAUCUCCAGUGGCCUCAGCCUGUAGUGACUUGAAGCAGGAUUUCAGUUCCUGGCCAGAGACAGAAGUCAGGCUGGAGCAAUGAGAGUGUUGACUCCUAACCACCAGACUGCCAGGGACUAGCGGCCAGUGACAAGGCCCCAGCCCGUCAGCUGUGUAUUACCUCCUGGUAGUGUGAAUCACUCUUCAGAAGCAGUUCUCCUGGGUUUCCUUUUUAUAGGGCAUGUCUUCCGAGUUUCCUUUGGCCAGCUUUUUUUUUGGUGGGAAGGUGGGUUCUUAGUUCCCCAACUAGGGAUUGAACCCAUGUCCAUGGUAGUGAAAACCUGUGUCUUAACCACAGGACCACCAAGGAAGUCUCCGGCCAGUCAUCUUCCUUUGCCUCUUCUGAGUCCAUGCUUGUUUUAUCUCAGGGUCAUCUCCUGUGUGUGUGCAUCUCUUAGC